rnacentral:rRNA from 1 species
AUACGGAAGGUCCGGGCGUUAUCCGGAUUUAUUGGGUUUAAAGGGAGCGCAGGCGGAGAUGCAAGCGUGACGUCAAAUUUCGGGGCUCAACCCCGUCUCGCGUCGCGAACUGCGUCCCUUGGUUGCGGGAAGGGGAGGCGGAACUCGUGGUGUAGCGGUGAAAUGCAUAGAUAUCACGAAGAACUCCGAUCGCGAAGGCAGCCUUCCGGCCCGUCAACGACGCUCAUGCUCGAAGGUGCGGGUAUCAAACAGGAUUAGAUACCCUGGUAGUCCGCGCAGUAAACGAUGGACACCCGCGGUUUGGCCUAUAUGGCUGAGCCGCCAAGCGAAAGCGUUAAGUGUCCCACCUGGGGAGUACGCCGGCAACGGUGAAACUCAAAGGAAUUGACGGGG